ACGUCUGCGAGCGAGCAGCCCAGGGGGAGGGAGGCGAGGGAAAGACUGGCUGCACAGCGAGCCUUCAGCAUGCUUUCCUUUUCGUGCCAAGUACCUGGCAUGCCAGUGCUUUCCUGAGCUGUUCCCACUCUGACCCAAAUGCUGUCUGCGACUGUGCGUGACUGCUCCCUGCUCACGCUCACCUUUGGCACAAUUACUCCUGGUAACAUCCCCCUCCUGCUUCCCAGAGACGCAGACACAGAGACGGAAUUUGCUGAAGAUGGUGUCAGAAGUUCCACGCCCCCACGGCAUCCAAAAUGCUUGAGAAAUGCUCAGGAGGUUGACACGAGUGUCAAGGAUGCAGCGUGCCUCCCUGCUCUGACACAGAUGGCUCCGCGACUCUGCCCGUCCUAAAUCCCAAGCAGAUGGUGCAACUCGGCCCGUCUCCUCCAGCAAGGAUGAUCCCCGGGGCCUCCCUGCAGAGAGUGUGCAUUUCAAAGGAUAAUUCCAUGAGCACUUCUUACCCUGAUCCAGAGCCUUCUGAGCAUCCGUAUACUUCAUCACUCUUCACACAGACCUGCCCCUGCCUUGCACCAGCUCCCACUGGGGUUUCCUUUUCUCUUUUAAAAGGUAAGCAGAGUCACAAGCCCUGAGAUGCGGCCUUGGAAGCAAAGGUAGCUGUGAAACACGAGAAGCAAAAGUAUGAAAAGGAAAAGGAAGACAAAAAGAGAAAAGAAGGAAAAUUCCCGUAUGACUUCCCUGAUUUAUGCUACAAAAAUGGGAACCGUCCCCCCACCUUCCAAGCGUGGCGGUAACCCCAGCGUCGGUCGAAGCAGGGGCAAGGGAAGCCCUUUACAAAGCGGCCCCUUUCUCGCACCCGCAGCACCUUUUUGUGCUCAUGAAGCAUUUCUGCACUAACAAAUCCUGUUUGAUAAUUGUGUUGCAAAAGCCUCACUCUGAAUAUUUAAUAGAAUUAUUGCUAGUUAUCAGCACAAGUAGGUGAUAAAUCACAAGCCGCCUUUACCCAACACCAGGCAGAGCCAUUAGGGGGUUUCAAUCACGUUUCCCACCCUGCCCCCAUGUCAGAAUGACCAUGAAUUAAAAAGGAAAACAAACAAGCAACCUGCCCCCACCUCCCCGGGUUUCAUUCCUUUAAAAAAUAAAAAGAUAAAGAAACACCUAGAGGCUCUGGCCUGGGCCCAGCUGUCCCCGAGUGCCACAAGCCCAACUUUUUGGUGCCCUGGGCUCCCUCUGGCGCCGCCUCCCCGGCAGAGCCCUCUAGCUCUGCCCCCCCUCCUCCGCGUAUGAAUGAGGUGAUCUUUUAGCUGCCCUUUGUCUUGGAAAAAAAUUAAUUCUCAUUUGCAUUACCUCGACUAAAUGUCACCCACCGAUAUUUUGUUAGACAUUAGCAAUGCUGGCAGAGAGGGGCACGGGAUAAUUGCGUUCUGCCUAGCGGUGGGAUUUACAUAAUUUCAGACAGCAAUUAAAGAAUCCCUGGGAAUUUUUUUUUUUUCUCUUCCAACCUCUCCUACAAAGAAAGUGUUCGUUUACAUUAAGCGCUCAGCUCCUCGCUGUUCAUUUGCAUAAAAUUAAAGGUUUUUGUGUUCUGGAACAGCAGGGUAACAUUUAAAAUUCUGUUUCAAAAAGCUCACCUUAGAAUAAUAAAAUGUUAAUAUCAUUUCACGGGCUGGAGAAGGUUGCCAGCUGCCUUUCACUUCAAACUUUUAUCCAAUACUAACUGUUUGGGUGGGUGAUAUUAUUAUAUUUUUUUGCUGUUAAGAUAUAAACUUUCUUGAAAAAGUGUAGGGAUGUAAAUGUGCCUACCGAUGGGUCUCUGCAGGGCUACUCCAGAGCAGAAUGUUUGUUUACUCCAUAGUUUUUUAAUUAAAAAAUCAUGCAAAAGA